GCUGGGCAUGGUGGUGCAUGCCUGUAAUCCCAGCUACUUGGGAGGCUGAGGCAGGAGAAUCGCUUGAACCCGGGAGGCAGAGGUUGCAGUGAGCUGAGAUCGCGCCACUGUACUUCAUCCUGGGCAACAGAGCAAGACUCUGUCUCAA
ensembl:misc_RNA Metazoa_SRP Metazoan signal recognition particle RNA